AGCCCCACCCAGCCUCAGGCAGCCAAUUCUGUCCUCGGCACAUUCCCCACCCCUCACCCCCACAGUACGCUGUCCUCUGCCACCAACUCAAAGUACCAUUAGUCAAGUGAGUACCGAUUAGUGUUGGUGAGAGUGUACCAUCUGGAUGAGUCACUGACAUCUCCUCUGCCACACGCCCCCAUCCUCCAUGUUAGAUAGAAGGGCGCCUGCUAUUUCCUUCCCUCGGACAACCUUCAGUACAUUCUUCAGGAAUGCUGCUCUCUUCAUUUGAAAUAGCCAACUGCUGGUUUAUGUCUUGUGAUCAUACAUCAAAAUGACUUGUCAAAUCAGGAAAAUGAAGUGUGUCUCAACAGUGGAUGAUUAAAAUUGGAAGCUUAAGAAACUGUUCUGGAGUAUGCUCCCAGUGGAAAAGGGAGAGGGGGAAGACAAAUAAGAUUUAAAACCCAAAUUUAUGGAUGCUUCUGGUCAUCAGUGGAACUGAGAUGCACCCUGGGCACCAGGGAGCUUAAAGAUCACUCCAAAUAAGCUCAGCUGGCAGAGCACUGCCUAGCAUGCAUGAUGUCUGGCCCCACAUAUAUCAGACAGAGCAUAUGCCUGUAAUUCCAGCACUCUGGGAGGGAGGAAGGCAGAUCAGAAGUUCAAGCUCAUCAUAGGCAACAAAGCAAAUUCAAAGGUCGUCUGGGCUAGAUAAAAAAGAAAGAAAGAGAAAGAAAGAAAGAAAGAAAGAAAGAAAGAAAGAAAGAAAGAAAGAAAGAAAGGAAAGAAAGAAAGAAAGAAAGAAAGAAAGAAAGAAAGAAAGGAAAGAAAGAGAAAGAAAGAAGAAAGAAAGAAAGAAGAAAAGAAAGCCAACAACAACAACAAACCAUGAAAAGCAACAACAGAAGGGGGAAAGGGUAAAAGAGUUCUUUUUCAGAACUAAAGAGACAUUUGUAAACUGAGGGUGGUGCACACAUCUUUAAUCCCAGCACUCAGGAGUUAGCAGCAGGCUGGUCUCUAUGAAUUUGAGGUGGGUCUACGGAGUGAGUUCCAGGACAGCCAGGGCUACAGAGAAACCCUGUUGGGGUGGGGUAGGGGAGUUGGGGGCAGAACAAAAACAAAUGAAAACAAAAACCACCAAAUGAAUCCCAGUACUAGAGAAGCCAAAGCAGGGUGCUGAGUUUGAAGCUGGCUUGGGCUGUACAGUGAAACCCCAUUUUAAAAUACUAAACAAAUAAAGUAUCACCAGAAAGUGA